CACAAGUAGCUCUCAUGGCUGGAGAUUGCAGGUCCAAGAUUGAUCCUAAUUAGGAAGAAUAAUGACGACAUCCAUUCAAGUUUUAUUUAUACUCUUUUGGCUGCAGCUGGACUGCGUAAGUGGAGAAGAGAAUGUGGGGCUGCGUCCUCCUACCCUGAGUGUCCAGGAAGGAGACAUCCCUGUUAUCAACUGUUCUUAUUCAGACCAUGCCUCGAGCUACUUCCUUUGGUAUAAGCAGGAACUUGGAAAAAGUCCUCAAUCCAUUAUAGACAUUCGUUCAAAUAUGGACAAAAAGCGAGAAGGAAGAUUCACCGUUUUAUUGAAUAAGACGGCCAAACAUCUCUCCCUGCGCAUUGCAGGCACCCGACCUGGAGACUCAGCUGUCUACUUCUGUGCAGAGAGUACACAUUGCUUCCCAGGCACCUGUAACCUAUACCCAAACCUAAGACUGGAGCUGAAGCCACACUGCCUUUCCUUUGGCAUAGACCUUCAAUUUACAUAGUAUAAAGUGAACAGUUAGAUGCAAAGAUGCAUAGGGCAAGAUACAGAGGAAGGGGCGCCGAAGUUCCAUGCCCUCUCUGGCCGUGCCACCCUCCCUGUGUCCAGGAAUCAGGAGGCUCCACAUAGUGGAUUCUUGGAGGGAAUUAGUGAAGUUUUAUUCUGAAAUCUAGCCUUUAAAGAAGACUUUACCUUUGCUAUUCAGAUUCCUCUCUUGUA